GCUGGUGCAGUAGGAGGACCAUGGCUGACUACAGGUCAUGAGAGAGCUACCCAAUAUAGAGGGAGAUAAAAUAUCACAUGUUAGAGAGAGCUGCCAGCUUUAGUGAUGAUUAGAGGCCUUGAAAGAGGUUAGGCAUGCCUGACUAAAUAGGUCCAAUUUUAGAGCUAGGAUUAUAUGUUCCAGGAUUACUUGACAUUAGGUAGGGAUCAGUGAAGAGAAAAAGGCAUUCAAGAUCGUUGACAGGAAUAGUCAGCCAGCUAGUACCACAAAAGGGAAUGACCAUUCAGAAUAUAGGAUGUUUUAGAGAAACUUGUGUCCUCAUUUGGAACGCUUAAAGAAGUUUAGUUAGGGAGACUCCGUGGUUAAGAAAAUGGACUCACGAUCCUGGCUUUACAUCCUGGCUCUACCAACCUCUUCUCAAGAUUGCUUGCUCAGAAGGAGAUUCUUCCCUUCUAAUGGGGAGCGCUAACAUCUAUCAUCCAUGUUCCUCCAAGAGGAUUGAUUGCUAAUGAAGAAACCCAGCAUCACAAGGCAAUAUGCUUCACCAUUGGUGUAAUAAGUUGCAACAGGGGUAUUACAUCCUGUGAUAUUGGUAAGUAUUACCAAAUUUAAAGCACUCAUAUGAAAGUGUAUCCAUUGAUCGACCCCAGGUCCACUGGAAUCUAUGGAGCAUACUCUAGACCUGAAACCAGGCUUCUCAGAAUUGGUGAGGAGAAAAGAGGAAGCAAAGAUUUGCAAAAUUGAGUAUAUAAUCCACUUCAUGUGACAGAGACCUAGUUUCAGAAUUUUGCCUCAUUUGAUAUGGUCUUUCCUUUGGCCUAUGUAGAGCCCUUUCAGUUUCUGCUCCGCGGGAUCUAAGUACUCAAACCUGAGUGUUAAGGCUUUUUUUUCACCAUCUUUGUAAUAAAUUUCACUUUCUACUAGACUGCUAUAUUGUUAUUUCCUUCUGACAAGACCACAGUAGGAUUCUGCUCCUGCAUUUGUGGACUAUGUGGUAAGGAGGUGCCCUUCAUGACCUCCAGAAGUAUUCACUAGAUUGUUCCAGUAAAGAGCCUUAGUUUCACCAGAGAGCCUUAGUUGUAUUUAUGUCAAAGGGAAAGCCUAUAGUUGGGUAAAAGAAUACAUUUGAAAUACACAUCUCUGACAUAGGGCUAGUAUCCAGAAUAUAUAGGAACUGCUAUAAAUAAAUAAGAGAAAGAAAAAUUUUCUAGUAGAAAAAUGUGCAAAACACAUGAACCAGACACAUCACA